rnacentral:rRNA from 1 species
GUCUACGGCCAUGCUACCCUGAACAAGCCCGAUCCUUUCUGAUCUCAGAAGCUAAGCAGGGUCAGGCCUGGUUAGUACUUAAAUGGGAGACCACCUAGGAAGACCAGUUGCUGUAGGCA